CACGUAGGGCGCAAGCGUUGUCCGGAAUUAUUGGGCGUAAAGAGCUCGUAGGCGGUCUGUUGCGUCCGCUGUGAAAACUCGGGGGCUUAACCCCCGAGCCUGCAGUGGAUACGGGCAGACUAGAGGUAGGUAGGGGGAGAAUGGAAUUCCCGGUGUAGCGGUGAAAUGCGCAGAUAUCGGGAGGAACACCGGUGGCGAAGGCGGCAUCCUGGACCGAGAUUGACGCUGAUGCGCGAAAGCCAGGGGAGCAAACGGG
rnacentral:rRNA from 1 species